rnacentral:rRNA from 1 species
UACGAAGGGGGCCAGCGUUGUUCGGAAUUACUGGGCGUAAAGCGCGCGUAGGCGGCUUUGUAAGUUAGAGGUGAAAGCCCGGAGCUCAACUCCGGAACUGCCUUUAAGACUGCAUCGCUAGAAUUGUGGAGAGGUGAGUGGAAUUCCGAGUGUAGAGGUGAAAUUCGUAGAUAUUCGGAAGAACACCAGUGGCGAAGGCGACUCACUGGACACAUAUUGACGCUGAGGUGCGAAAGCGUGGGGAGCAAACAGG